rnacentral:rRNA from 1 species
UACGUAGGUGGCAAGCGUUGUCCGGAUUUACUGGGCGUAAAGGGCGCGUAGGCGGCCACCGCAAGUCGAUUGUGAAAUCUCCGGGCUUAACCCGGAAAGGUCAACCGAUACUGCGGGGCUAGAGUGCAGAAGGGGCAACUGGAAUUCUCGGUGUAGCGGUGAAAUGCGUAGAUAUCGAGAGGAACACCUGCGGCGAAGGCGGGUUGCUGGGCUGACACUGACGCUGAGGCGCGAAAGCUAGGGGAGCGAACGGG